rnacentral:rRNA from 1 species
GACAGAGGGUACAAACGUUGUUCGGAUUUACUGGGCGUAAAGCGCGUGUAGGCGGCUUUGCAAGUCGGAUGUGAAAGCCCACGGCUCAACCGUGGAAGUGCAUCCGAAACUGCAUGGCUGGAGUCUCGGAGAGGAAGGUGGAAUGCUUGGUGUAGAGGUGAAAUUCGUAGAUAUCAAGCAGAACACCUGCGGCGAAGGCGGCCUUCUGGACGAUGACUGACGCUGAGACGCGAAAGCGUGGGGAGCAAACCGG